rnacentral:lncRNA from 1 species
AUUCAUCGCAAGCAAUCAUAAUACUGAAGAAAAACUGUACUACUUUAACUACAAUGUAAUGUCACCAGAAAAACUAUAUAAUAUUUAAAAGCUCUACAUUUCAAUUCUGAACGAAGCAUGACUGCUUGUCUUCUCUUUCUCUUCUGCUUUUCUGAAGAAACGCCGGAUGUGAAGAAAAUAUCACCACCUCCAGUGAGGCAAAGAUAAAAACGGGGCAUCAAAGAUUUCACUGUCAACCAUGAACAAAGCCAAGAACAACUAGCACUGGAUUAUUUUUUUAGUUAUCGAGUGCAAAUCCCAAUAGGAACAAGUGAGGGGAAAGAAGGGAGUUGCAGGCAUGGAGCUAGACCACAAACUCUAGAAGGAAAAUUUGAGUUAGGAAGAGAUUUAAAUAGCACUUCU